UCUUCCUGUCACUCCUGAGGCUGGAUUUGGACCCAGAAUCUCUGUCAGUCCCAGAUCUGAUUUUGGGAAUUUGAGGAAGGUGGUUUCUGAGAUGAAAGACCAACUGGAGAAUUUUUGCAGAAUGAAAAUGGCAGAGAUCCAUCACCCAGUUACCAAAGACACCGUCCUACCAGUAUUAGUGCCCAGGACCAGAGCAGAAUUCUUACACUCUUCCGUUGGGUGGAUCUUAAGCAGACCUUGGGCAGGACCUGGGAACACUGUACUGAUGCCUCAUUUCCACCAACAUGGAGCCGGUGCUGGGCUGGUUGUCACUUGAUGCCUUUUCAGAACCUGCCUGUGUUUCCACCAGUUUAAAAAAUUAACAUAGUUGACAGUGAAAGUAAAGGUUCAUAUGUAUUCCGUUUUGUGGGAUUUGUUCUUUUCUGUUCCAGAAUAAGUUUUUAUAAGCUGCCAACUGUCCUUUUAACAGUCGCACUAUUAAAGAUGCCAAUAACUGAACUUUGCAAUCUGCCUCAUAAUCUGCGGCAUGGUUUUCAUUUACAAUGCAAAGUUACUCCGAUAAUAAGCUGGCUAGUUGUUUUACUGUUGCCACCGGAAAUAUUAGACAAAACUAUAUUGGUUAUUGACUGAAUUAUCCAGGUAUGCGGAUGGUUUGGACACGAUGGCCCCUCCCACUUUCACUGAUGUUAUGAGAACUAUUUUUUUAUUUUUUGUGGUGGCCUAUAGCCUUGUGCCUUUGACCGAAUUACAGCCAUGAUAUACCGGAGUAUCUUCUUAUACAGUGUGUUAUUGCUUAAUUAUACUGCACUCAUAAAGCAUUCUAAACACAGCUAUAAAUAUUUAUAAAAAGCAUAACACAUUAUAUCCAUCAUUAUAACGCUUUAUGAAUGCUUUAUGACACACUCAACUAUAAGGCACUAUAGAUACCUUCAUAAUGCAAUACAAAGCAUCCUUAAUGCUUAUACUGAUCAUUAUAAUGCAUUAUGAAGGUAUUUAUAGUGCACUAAAGAAGAGAGCUUCAAACAUCAUUCAUUAUGCAUAAUAAGCAUGCCUAUAAUGUGUUAUGCCUUUUGAUAAAUAUUUAAAGCCAUGAUUAUAAUGCAUAACAAUGGAUUAUUAUUUGUUGUGAAUUUUUUUCUUAUUACUAACAACAUGGCCUUAAGUGUUCCAGAGAUUUUAUAGUGUUCCGUAAUCUGAGCAAAUGGAAGCAUGUAGAUGUUGAACAAAGAGGCUCAGUGAGGAUUAUAAUUCUAAUUGGUGAUCAGUGUUGACACACCACAGCACACAGUGCACAACACCGAAAUGUGUCCUCCGCAUUUAACCCAUAUGUGACAUCGUGACAUAGCAAGGGGCAGCUAAUUCAGCGCCCAGAGAGCAGUGUUUUGCUUAGGGUCCCUCAGCAGUGCCUUGCUGGUCGGGGAUUCAAUCCAACAACCAUUAAGCCACCACUGCCCACUGCCAAUAACGGACCCUUGAGGAACUCCACAUGUAAUUUCUGUUCAUUCAGAUUCAUAAUUACCCUUCUGACAGAAAGUAGUGCCUGACUUGUAAAAAUAAUUCAAACCCAUUAAAUAAGGCGGCGGCUCCACCUCCUUCCCUAAGUGCUCUAGUCUCACUGAUAAAGGGCAAGUAGGAGUAGCUGGUUUGAUCAGGGCUGCUGCAUAGUUUUCAUUUGACCCCAUUUCAGUUUAAAGCAUAAAAAUCAAGGUUUAUCUUGAUAUUAAAAUCAGUCAUUAAUAAUGAUUUUCCAGCCACAGACCUGAUAUUCAGUAAAGAUCAGUUUAAUGUAUUAAACACAUUGUCUGACCCAGUGUGUAGGUGACACACAACUGGAGUCAGAUGAGAGAGAGUAGCUGUGGGCUUUGAUGCACUUUGUUCCCCCUGAAGUCAGUCAGAGCAGGAAUGGCUGACACUGGGGCUGCUCCUCACUGCCUAGUGUGGGCUGUAGCUACAGCAGGGGAUCCAAACCAAGUAAGCGGCGGGCGGUGGGGUAAGGGCCCAGCCUGUCCUAGAUGUCAUCAUGCACUGUAAUGCUGAAAGCUGGGAAACUGCCCUCGCUUUGUUUGGGUAGCAGGAACGUUUGGUAUCACUCAGUAACAGCUCAUCAAAACCUUUUAUCUGCAUCCUUAUCUUGUGUGAGCUACGGUA